rnacentral:rRNA from 1 species
UACGUAGGGUGCGAGCGUUGUCCGGAAUUAUUGGGCGUAAAGAGCUCGUAGGCGGUCUGUCGCGUCGAUCGUGAAAACUUGGGGCUUAACCCUGAGCUUGCGGUCGAUACGGGCAUGACUGGAGUUCGGCAGGGGAGACUGGAAUUCCUGGUGUAGCGGUGAAAUGCGCAGAUAUCAGGAGGAACACCUGUGGUGUAGACAGCUUUCUGGACCAUUGCUGACGCUGAGACACGAAAGCGUGGGUAGCAAACAGG